GGGAAAAAAAAAAAAUCAGCCAUCCAAAAAUAACAAUGGAAGCACAUUUAAAAAAAUAAAAAUUCCAAAGCAUCUUAUAAGAGAAAACUAGGAAAUGUAAGGCCCAAAAUAUCAAGAAGUCAAUGUUACUGCAUCACAUAUUUAACAGUGACAAGGUCUGCCGGCAUUUAUUUUCUGUGUUGUGAUUUCCCUUGCCUUACAGGCUGAUGUGUUCUGUAGAUUUUGUUGAGGUUCGUAGAGGGAGGUUUCAGGUUAAAGUUUUCUCUUUAGCAUGGCUGUUCCCCUAAAGCUCCCACCCUGGGGAGGAAGUAAAAAAACUCUACUUUUAUAUGUGCUAUGCAAAUAGACAUUUCUAACAUAGUCAUGUUACUAUGGUAACACUUUGCUUUCUGAUUUGGAAAGAAAAUGUAGCAACAGCAUUUUAGGGUUCUCAGACGUCCAGUGAGCCCCUGAAAAAAAAGAAAAAAAGAAAAGAAAAAAAUCUGUUAUAGAAAUGAUCACUCUCUUUGUUUUCUGAACCUGAGGAUUAUGUUGAGAUGUUGGUCCAAAAGAGAGAAACAAAAACAAAAAAAAUCUCAACCCAUGGUUCUGUGGAAGGUUACCAUGGUGACUAACUACAGUACAUAUGUAAUUCUUUUCAACAACCUUUCCUUUCUGUGAAUCCAUCCAUACAAGGUUCUCUUACAGACCACACUUUGAGCUAAGUCUGCGUCCUUUCCCACGUACUAAAGAUCCCUGCUUGCAGCCAGACUGUCACCAUCUCCAUCACCUCUGAAAACACGCAGUUUAGGUCAUUCACCAGGGGCAUAGGAGUCCAAGGUUUACAUACACAGCCAGCGUGACUCAGAACAGAGGUAUGGAUCUAUGAUUUCAGAUCCUUAGCAGUUAACUGAAUAUCGAUGACUUGCUGCAAACCCCCCCCAAACAGAGCACAGACCAAUCAGGAUUCAUCUCACCCAUCAUCUGUGCAGAUGUGAGACACAUGUGCUGUGUUUAACCUGAAGUGCUAAAGAACCAAGAUAUGGAGUAUCUCCCAGUGCUUCUGAUGUCUGAACACAGCUAUUUAGAAGACUGGGUGCAUUUCAAGUCUUGUCACUGGAAUGCAGAGUCCUAUGGCAGCCUGCAAGCUGUCUUGCUGUUCCUUGAGGAAUCACUUUCUGACUCACAUCUUAGCAGCUGUGCAUAAUGGAGGAUUGUACUGUGCACUCGAGGGACUAAACUGGGGUAUUUUCCUGCUAGUCUCUGAGAGUAGUACCAAAUCAGUAUGGUCUACAGCAGGUCCUCUUGGCCCACAUGAGCUACCAGGUGUCUAAAAAACCCAGAACUGGAUGAAUAUUGAACAACAGUAUUCAUGAACAUUCACAGGGAUUUGAAAUGACUGUUUGAUCUCUCCAUAUCAAGGCCUCUUGUUAUCUGCUGCUCCUGCGGUUUCAGACAGAAAGUUUUUUGUUCCUGAGGAGGUUUGAGGAAUGGCUGAUUUGUGUGAAUACCCGUAUUUGCAUGCGAACGAGGCUAUUGCUUUACAAACAAGAGCGUUCAUUAUUCCUCUGUUUAAAAGGAUACACUAACCCAAUUAGUGAGCUGGAAGAAUAUCCCGUGAUUUAGCUAACCAAUAAAAUGCUUCAAGUAGGAGGCAGUGAAUACUUAAACUGUGCAGUAUCUAAAUCCCCAUGUUGGCAUUUCCAAAACCUUUGAAAGUUGAACCUUCUCUUUAAGAAAAUAAGAACAAUUGCACUCUUCACCCGUCCCAUGUGUUAUUAAAACACACCAAAGAGAACAGCCCUCAGAGAAGUCUGUGUGGAUCUGCGUGUUUCAGAUGCUUCUCCUCCUUCCAAAACAUGCUUUGAACAGUGUAGAAAGUAACUUAAUGUUGAUGCUUAAAAACAACUUAGCUAACUGUUCUUGAAACAAAGAGGAGCAUCACACCUCUACAGCACUGCUUCAAGCUUUCUGCAGAUUCAGUGCAUGAGCCUAGGAAGUCUAAAGUGUUGUGCAAAAGGCAUGCCCACGUUUGGGACAAUGGCAGAGGGUCUGAAGGUUGGAGGCAGAAACACCCAAAAGAACUGCUGUUAUCUGAUAGAAAUAACCAGAAAAGAUACAAUUUUGUCUGAAGACCAUGCUAAAUAGAUCCAUAAAAUUUAAGCUGAAGCCUUCUCAUCUACUUGCUGAACAUAUGUAUUUAAUCUACAAGAUGAGCAGAACCUGGGAUGUGAAUAGCAAAGCAGACUUUGACCUUCAUUUU